AGUUUGACUGGGGCGGUCUCCUCCCAAAGCGUAACGGAGGAGCACGAAGGUUAGCUAAUCCUGGUCGGACAUCAGGAGGUUAGUGCAAUGGCAUAAGCUAGCUUGACUGCGAGCGUGACGGCGCGAGCAGGUGCGAAAGCAGGUCAUAGUGAUCCGGUGGUUCUGAAUGGAAGGGCCAUCGCUCAACGGAUAAAAGGUACUCCGGGGAUAACAGGCUGAUACCGCCCAAGAGUUCAUAUCGACGGCGGUGUUUGGCACCUCGAUGUCGGCUCAUCACAUCCUGGGGCUGAAGUAGGUCCCAAGGGUAUGGCUGUUCGCCAUUUAAAGUGGUACGCGAGCUGGGUUUAGAACGUCGUGAGACAGUUCGGUCCCUAUCUGCCGUGGGCGCUGGAGAAUUGAGGGGGGCUGCUCCUAGUACGAGAGGACCGGAGUGGACGCAUCACUGGUGUUCGGGUUGUCAUGCCAAUGGCACUGCCCGGUAGCUAAAUGCGGAAGAGAUAAGUGCUGAAAGCAUCUAAGCACGAAACUUGCCCCGAGAUGAGUUCUCCCUGAGACUU
rnacentral:rRNA from 1 species